rnacentral:rRNA from 1 species
GACGUAGGGCGCGAGCGUUGUCCGGAUUUAUUGGGCGUAAAGAGCUCGUAGGCGGCUUGUCGCGUCGUUCGUGAAAACCUGCAGCUCAACUGCAGGCUUGCGGUCGAUACGGGCAGGCUGGAGUUCGGUAGGGGAGACUGGAAUUCCUGGUGUAGCGGUGAAAUGCGCAGAUAUCAGGAAGAACACCCGUGGCUAAGGCGGUUCUCUAGUACGGUACUGACGCUGAGACGCGAAAGCGUGGGGAGCGAACAGG